ACGGGCGUAAUUCAGCGGUAGAAUGUCAGCUUCCCAAGCUGAAAGUCGAGGGUUCAAGUCCUGUCGCCCUGG
rnacentral:tRNA from 1 species